rnacentral:rRNA from 1 species
UACGUAGGGGGCUAGCGUUGUCCGGAUUUAUUGGGCGUAAAGAGCUCGUAGGCGGUUUCGUAAGUCGGAUGUGAAAACUCCAGGCUCAACUUGGAGACGCCAUUCGAUACUGCGAUGACUUGAGUCCGGUAGGGGAGUGUGGAAUUCCUGGUGUAGCGGUGAAAUGCGCAGAUAUCAGGAAGAACACCUAUGGCGAAGGCAGCUCUCUGGGACGGUACUGACGCUGAGACGCGAAAGCGUGGGGAGCGAACAGG